UACAGAGGGUGCAAGCGUUGUUCGGAAUUAUUGGGCGUAAAGCGCGUGUAGGCGGCUUUGCAAGUCGGGUGUGAAAGCCCUCAGCUUAACUGAGGAAGUGCGCCCGAAACUGCAGAGCUUGAGUACCGGAGAGGGUGGCGGAAUUCCCCAAGUAGAGGUGAAAUUCGUAGAUAUGGGGAGGAACACCGGUGGCGAAGGCGGCCCGCUGGGCAGUGGCUGACGCUGAGGCGCGACAGCGUGGGGAGCAAACAGG
rnacentral:rRNA from 1 species